UUUAAAAAAUAAUAUAAGAGUAAUUUUGUAACUUUACAUCACCUUCAUUUAUUAAACCAAAAAUAAUUCUCUUAUAUAGAUAGAAAACUCCUUAAUUAAUGGAACAAUUACCAUAAAAGGCCAUAAACUAACCCUAGUCGUCCAAGUCCAUUGUGUGAGGAUGUGUUGCGUUGGUUCCCUUUUUGCUAUCGGCCGAGAAAGAGAAAUCUGGAGGGGAGGGGCUGUGCGAUCGGAAGAGAAGAGGAUGAAGGGAAGUGAGGCUGAAAUCGAGGAUCGACGGGAAGUAAGGGAAGGGUCUUCGGUCUUUGACUGGCCGCAGGAGGUGUGCCCCGGCAGCACGAGAAUCGUUUACUGUUCCGGGCCGGAUCAAGGUUGGGUUGGUGUGCCACCCACAGUAGGCGAUUGUUGGAGAAGAUCUCCACAAGUUCGUUCCAGAUUUAGGGCUUAACCACAUGGUCUGGAAAACCCUAGCGUAUAAUCGACCUACCAGAAUCUCUCUAGACCAAGAACCGACUACUGAAUUCAGUCACCUGAUUCCCUGACUACAACCGUUUACAGAUACCACCGGAGAUGGAGUUUUUGCCCACGCAAUCUUCGUUUUUUCUUCCGCAGUUUCUCAAAGUCAAUCUCCAAUGAUCGAUUUUGAAUUUUUAUAUGUUUUUUGUGUUAUGCCAAAAUUUUAAAGAUUUGGUUUGGAUUUUACUAUACAAAGCUCCCCCUCUGAUUGCCCCGUCUUUGUCCUUCUUCGAAUCAGGUAUCAGAUUACACAAAUUAUAUCCAAAAAAGGUCUCCGUUCCUCAAACUGCAGCGGAGGAUGACCUAGAACCAACCUCUCUCUGUAAUCUUCUCCAAAUCUUUUUCGUCUCCACAUUUCGUCGAUCAUCAAUCAGGGAAAAUGAAGGAGAAACAAUGAAGGUUUGAUGCCCCAUUUUCUUGAUUGAUUUGUCAUGAACAACACCGUGUUCUUGACCGGAACAUGAUACUCAGAAGAAGAAAUAAGGAAACUGGAUGUUGCUUCUUUGGUGAUUCAUUGACUGUCAAUCAAAAGAAAACACAUGUUGAAACAAAAUAAAAGUUAAUUUAAAACUCAAUCAGAUAUCUUAUUUUCUUUAUUGAUUACAAUAUUCUAUUAUCUGAGAUUUGACUAGAUAAUAUCUGAAUACAUUAAAUUCCAACAGAAUAUCUAAAUCGAUUCCAAUUUUCAACUAUGCUUUAAUUGUUUUGUUUUUCUAAACCAUUUGAAUUGAGUAAAAUUAUAUAAAAAAAGUAAAAACUUCUGAGUUUUGUAGAUAAUAAGAAGAAAACAAAAGUUAAAAGUUGGUGUGUAUUUUUGUGGUGAUGUAAACAGGAACAUGUGUUUCUUUCAAAUAUUCAUGAUUCAGAUAUUCUGUUGGAAUUUAAUGUAUGUUAGGAUGAUGCAGGAAUGAUGAGGUAACUUAUGAAAAAAAGAUUUGUGAUACUUCAUUCUCAAAGAAUGAAGAAAAACAACAACAUUCUUUCAGAUUUCAGGAUUCAACAUCCAAAAACAGCAGCAUUCUUUCAGAAUUCAAGAAUUCAAGAAGAAAACAUGAAGAACGAGAGUAUUCUAGCAGAAUGUUGUUAUUUUUUAAGAAUAUUAUUCAUUUUUGUUGAUAUUCAUUUAGAAUAUUUAUAACUAUAUUUAAAAUGUACAAGACUUUUAGUCUGUAAGAAUAUGUAUGAAUUUGUAUUUAAGUUCGGAUGUAUAAAAAUAUAUUAGAAUGUUUGUUA